GGAUGCUGCGUGACAAACGUGACUUUGUUUACAACGCGUGCAGACCGUUUAAAAUACAGAUCCUGGAGAUGACAGCUCAGUGACUGUUUUAUAAAUCUAACUGAACGGCACAUAUUCCGACCCAUUAACAAACAGAAUAGACACAUGCUGCGAUAAAUGCAGGAAACGAGUGACCUGCGACUCACUGUAACCUUAAUUUUUCUGCAGCACAUUAACCAGAGGCUGAAACACAGAAACAGCUUGAAGGCCACAAGCUCGACUUCAACAGCAUACGGGAUGUGUUUGGACAGAAGCAGAGCUCUGGGACGUGUGGACAGACUUUGACUGUAAUGAUAGACGUCUGCUCAAGGACAGGUAAGACUUAGAGCUUGUGUUUGUGUUUUGCUGUGUACUACACGUGUAGGUUACCAUCACUUUCUUUUUGGAGGGUCACCUCUCUAGAAAGCUAAAUGAUGGGAACCUAAAUGGAUGGGGAAGGGACGGCGGUUCAAAAAUUUUAGACAGCUAAAAAAAAAAUAUUUUUUCUUUAAAGAAGCAUAACCGCUGCUGGACAUCGCUCUGGGUCUCAGGGGGGGACCCGAAUCAUCCUCACCCCUUCAUUCACACAACACUCACUCAUAUCACAGAGAUCUGGCUGGGAUUGAACCAGCGACCUCCGAACCGUGAGGCAGCGCUCUUACCUGUGAGCCACAGAUCUCUUGCUUGAGGUUGUGCUGGAACGUAUAUUUCACUAUUCACCUG
rnacentral:lncRNA from 1 species